rnacentral:rRNA from 1 species
AGUCGAGGGGUAAAUGGUAGCAAUACUAUGAGACCGGCGGACGGGUGCGUAACGCGUAUGCAACAUACCUUGUGCAGGGGGAUAGCCCGUGGAAACGCGGAUUAAUAUUCCAUAGUCCAGCUAUAUCGCAUGGUAUAGUUGGUAAAGAUUUAUCGGCACAAGUUUGGCAUGCGUCUGAUUAGCUUGUUGGUAGGGUAACGGCCUACCAAGGCUACGAUCAGUAGGGGUUCUGAGAGGAUUAACCCCCACACUGGUACUGAGACACGGACCAGACUCCUACGGGAGGCAGCAGUGAGGAAUAUUGGUCAAUGGGCGGAAGCCUGAACCAGCCAUCCCGCGUGAAGGAAGACAGCCUUACGGGUUGUAAACUUCUUUUCUGUCAGAAGAAUAGGCUUGUCGAGACGAGUGAUGCCGGUAUGACAGGAAUAAGCAUCGGCUAACUCCGUGCCAGCAGCCGCGGUAAUACGGAGGAUGCAAGCGUUAUCCGGAUUUAUUGGGUUUAAAGGGUGCGCAGGUUGUUUGAUAAGUCAGUGGUGAAAGUCUGUCGCUUAACGGUAGGAUUGCCAUUGAUACUGUUGGACUUGAAUAUGGAUGAGGUAGGCGGAAUGUGUAGUGUAGCGGUGAAAUGCAUAGAUAUUACACAGAACACCGAUUGCGAA